UACACAGGUCUCAAGCGUUGUUCGGAUUCAUUGGGCGUAAAGGGUGCGUAGGCGGCGCGGUAAGUCGGGUGUGAAAUCUCGGAGCUUAACUCCGAAACUGCAUUCGAUACUGCCGUGCUUGAGGACUGGAGAGGAGACUGGAAUUUACGGUGUAGCGGUGAAAUGCGUAGAUAUCGUAAGGAAGACCAGUGGUGAAGGCGGGUCUCUGGACAGUUCCUGACGCUGAGGCACGAAGGUCAGGGGAGCAAACGGG
rnacentral:rRNA from 1 species